UUAUAUCUUUUCUUAUAAAUUUAUCUAUGCAAGCAAGCAGAUUAAUCCUUUAGGCUACACCAGUUUCCCUGUGGCACCUCUACUGUUCCCUGUGACCUCUGUCUUAGUCAUGUUCAUUGUCAUCCCAUGGCUGCUUAGCUGGUCUACCAUUGGUUUACUAUUUUCUACAAGUCUUCUUUUGAAGAUGCCCUUAUUGCUAUUUCAUCUCUAUAUUGCAGGUUUUGACGUUUUCCCAUUGUGAUCAUCCUGCUGACAUAGUCCAUAAAUAUGAUAAACAGCAAUGGACUGAGGGCCAACCCCUGAUGCAAUCUGAUUUCUAAUACCAAGAGGCUUGCUGUUCCAAAACACAUUCAGAUCACUGUUUUAGAUCUAUAUCCUGCAUUCCCCAUAGUUAUUACAUUCUCAGAUAAUAUUUCAGUACUGGUGCGAGCAUCCUUCUGUUCAUUUUAACAUAUGCUUUUUCUAGGGUCUAUGACAGCCCAGAAGCUAUCCUGUUGAUAUUCUAGCUGCUUCUCUGUCACUUGCCGAAUUACGAACAUGGAAUCUAUGGUUGCUUGGCUUUUCCUAAAGCAGAACUGUUCUUGUUCACUUGUCCUGUCCACCUUUCUCCCAAUCCUAGCAUCCAAUGUGUGUUCUGGUAACUUUAUCCCUUGAUAGUGUCUGCAUUCAUGGAUGCUUCCCUGUAUUGAUACCAAAAUAGAUUCUCAUCAGUCUUCAGGAAUUCUCUUGAUUCACUCUACGGCUUUUAACUAUUCUGCUCAUCCACUUCAUACCUCUCUUGCCCAGGAUUUUCACCAGGUCUGCCAUCAUUUUCUCAGAUCCCAAUGCCUUACCAUUCUUCAUUUUCUGGACUAGGUUUUCUCACCUUAUCCUCCAUUAUGUCAGACUCAGAUCUGACAUUAGGCUCACAUGUUGGCAACUCUGCCAAAAAGGCCGUUUUGCCCCUCAAACUACUGUUUCCACCUCUCCUUUGCUUAUUCAUGUGUUACUAAUAGCCUCCUCUGGUCAUUCUUUACGAAUGGCAUUGCAAAACCAUCCUUCCUUUUGAAUCUCAUUGUCCAGCUAUGCCGGAAAGACAGGAGAAACUGCAUGUGGUUUAAUUAGGCUACCAUUUUAUUAACUAUCUGGGAGCUCCCCACAGAUAAAAGUGUAUAAUGCUGGUAAUGGCAUUAUUUCAAUAUAUACUGGGGGGCUUCCAUCAGCCAACCCUCUUUCCCAUCCUAGUCCCCAGCCCACCUAUUGCUGGGACCUUCCAUCUCCCCCAUGUGGGAUAAGGUGGGCUCUAAGAGGGGCAGUUGGCUUCCUGCCAUGUCAGAAAUAGGAGCCCUGAACUUCCCAGUUUCCAGUCCUUUAACAAAUACCUCCUUUGAAUUCUUUACCAAUCCAUUUAUCUGAUCCCCUCCAUACAGAAGGUUCUGAGCUAUGCCUAAAAUUUGCUCCCCUUCUGUUACUAAAUGCCAGCUUUUCCCUCUGUGGGCUGAAGUGUGUGUGGGAAGCAUUCCUACCCCUUCCCCUGCUCUCACCAUCAUGCUACCACAUGGCACCAUGGAGAUUGCAGAGCUUGAGUCCUUGCUGUUCUGCCUGGUACAGGUAAAAGAGGGCUUUUCCUGCUUGGCGUAACCUCUCCUCUCUUCCAGUCACCUAAGAGGAUGGGUCAGCAUCCUCACGUUGACCUGCUCUGCCAUUGCUGCAACCUCACUCCUUGCCUUGCUAUCCUUUAAAGAGGUACACACCUUCCUGCAGCCAAACAACAGUCCGUUUCCCCCCCGACACACAUAUACCUGCUUAAUGUGUGGUGUGGCCAUUUUUGCCAUGCUGUAGAUAUUUUUGCCAGUGGUUCCUCCAGCAAGGCACACAACAAUCCCUCUCUCCACACUUAAUGUGGAGUGUGGUCAUUUUUGUCAAGCUAUAGAUCUUUUUGCCAGCCAGUAGUGGAUAGUUUACAAGGUUGGCAUACAAGCUUGGUCAUGUGUGGCAUUCUUUUUGCCUUCUUCAUUGUCUGCUUGGCAGCUCACUUUCCUUCCUUCUAUUCACUUUCAUUUAUACUCAGUGUAUUUCUUUAGGCUCUAUUUUCUUGUUUUGGGUAACUACCUGUGCUUCAGUCUAUCACCACUCUUCUCUUUCCCUCUGUUUUCCCCAUCUGCAUCAGCCACAAAUCUCUUCCGCUGCUGCAAUCCAUGUUCUUUUGAGGUAGUUCCAUUCUUCAGCCAAUACCAAAUUUAUUUCCACUACUGAUGUACGUGUCCAAAUGAUUCACCUUCUUUUGAAACCAUGGAUUGGCUAUUACAUAUGGUUUAGUAAUAAUUUCCUUCCUCAUUCCAUAGUACCUAGACUGGAAUUUCCUAAACACAUUAUAUUACCCCUUCUGUUUUUGCCUGUCUCUUCCAUAUCUCAAGUCAUCCAACAUCUCCUUUGGCAUGGUUCUGUCCGCUAGUGCUUUCAAAUCUUGGUGGAAACUCUGCUUCAUUGCAUCUUUCUUGAGGUGCAUAUGCUGAUAUCACAAACAGAACAUGCUCCUUAAUUUGGACCCAUACAGCCAUCACUCGGUCACUUACUCUAAUAAUUUCAAUUAUUGUUCUUUCUCAGCUCUCCUCUCACUACCAUCCUGACUCCAUUACAUCUGCUUUUGUUACCACAGAAGAGUUUACAAUUUAAGCCCAGCUCCCUCACUGCAUUCCCCAUUCACUGUGUUUUCUGCAGGUAUAGAAUACAAAUACCUCUCCGUACCUUCAUAUCAGCUACUUUCACACCUUCGUCAGUCAAAUGGGGUACAUUCAAUAUUGCUACUUAUAUGGGAAUUCUUUGGCUGUGCAGGUCGUUGCGAUUCAUCUGACUCUUCAUUCUACCCUGACCUUCUACAGGACUGUUCAGACACUGACUGCCAGAAAUCCCCAGCUCAGAUGCUGGGGCUGCCAGGCUUGAGGUGGGUGAACUUCUGGCAUAAGGCUAAGACGCCCUCUCACCAUUAGCAUUAUCCCUUGCUAAUAUCUACUACUGCCCUUUGGUAACUCACCAAAAAGAAAAACAUUGCUUGCACCAGCUAAUCGCCUUGUGCCAGAAACUAUAGUGUAUUAAUUGGUGUCCCUGACAUACACUGCAGUGAGAAGGCCUUUCCCCAGUUGAACUAAGUACAUGCCCAAACUCUCCCCAUCUUGUUGCUAUAGACCAGAUGGAUCAAUAAGAGGCGGUACUGCUGUUGCUGCUGCCCAACACCAUGCUUUAUUUAUCCCAUAGAUGAGGGUUUCAGAUCAGAGUUUUCCUUCUCCUAAAUAGGCUACCCAUCCAGACUGAGGAGCCCUAUCUGUCCCAAGAGAUUUGAUAAUAAUUCAGCAAAAGGCUCAUUUUUGUCCUAGUAUGAUUUCAUGCACCUAAAAACAAUGUCCAGUCUUGAUUGACAUGCAGUUUAACUACAUUAUUUCAUAUGGUCUUCAUGCUUUUAACUACAGUGAACUUUCACUGUAUUAGACAGAAGGCCUCAGUAAGAUAUUAGUUUUUAACUUAAGAACUUUAAAAUUUCAUGUGAGAGCCACACUCAAUCCUGUGUUAUAGUAUGGUGAAAAAGUUAAUUCCAAUAAAGAAAGUACUCAUCUUGUGCAGUAAUGUUGCUUCCUUGAGAUGUGCACCCCUACGGAUGCUCCACUGUAGGUUGUCUAUGUCCCUGCGCUGCUGAUCAGAGAACUUUGGUAGCAGUCUGUCCCACCCGCACAUGCGUUGCUCCCCGCCUGCCACUAGGCUAGGCAGCAUGCAUGGGCAAUUCCUCCUCAGUUACUUCUCUACUGCAGAGUCAACUACUAGGACUCCAAAGUAGAGGGGAAUUCCCAUUGGGACACACAGCUCGAAGAACAAUCAUUAUUGCACAAGGUGAGUAACUUCUUCAAAUGGUGUCCAUAUGGAUGGCUCCACUGUAGGUGACUCCUGAGCAGUGCCCACCACUGGAGAUUGUGACUUUGGAGUCGAGUCGGAUAUGGACGAUAGUACUAUGGCACCAAAUUUGGAGUCUGAAGCCAAAUCCCCAGGAUGCCAUAGUGUUCUGCAAAGGUAUGUGCAGAUGCCCAGGUAACUGCUCUGCAGAUUUCUGAUAUAGGAAUACCCUGGACAAAGGAUGAGGAGACCAAUCUCGUAGAAUGCGUGCGUAUUGAAGAUAGGGGGGAGGGGCGGGUUACAUUAUGCAAUUGGUAACAGAAUUUAAUACAGCCCAAGACCCACUUAGAGAGACAGUGAGAUGAAAUCACCGUGCCUUUUGACCUAUCUGCAAUGGAGAGGAGGAGUUUUGAAGAUUUUCUGAAGGUUCUUCUCACGCCGAGCAAAUAGAGGAUAGCUUCCCUAUUAUCCUUAUGAGGUUUGGGAUAAAAGGCUGGAAACUGAAUAAGCUAAUUUAUGUGAAGGCAGAAGUCAUGUUGGGAAUGAAUUUCAGAUGUUGUCUAAGCGUGACCUUGUCAGGGAAGAACCCAGUGAAAGGGGAAUGUGCCAUUGGAGCUUCUAUUUCCCCAAUCCUUCUUGCAGUGGUAAUGACGAUAAGAAACACCAUCCUCAUGGUAAGGUGAGUUAACGAACAAGUGGCCACGGGUUCAAAUGGUGGCCUAGUCAGACCUUUUAAUAGUAGGUUGCGAUCCUGUUGAGGCAUGGGAAGUCUGGGUUGUGGGAAAAAGUUUGCUAUGCAUUUAAUAAACUUCUUCAUAGGCGGAUGGGAGAAGAUUGAAUAUCCUUGUCUGCUGAGGGAAGGUUGCAAUUGCUGCUAGGUGAAACAAUAGAGAGUCCCGAUUUCUUGAGAGUCAACAGGUAGUCUAUGAUCACUGGUAGGGUGGAUGUAUUAGGGAUGACACGUUUGGGAUGGCACCAGAUCUGGAAUCUCUUUCAUUUUUGUAGAUAGUUAUGGCAAGUAGCUCCUUUCCUACUGAGCAAUAACACAUCCUAUACCACCUCAGAGCAAGAUGUCUCUAUGUGCUGGAACCAUGAAGGAGCCAGACUUCGAGACACAGAAUCCACAGGUUGGGAUGGAGAGUGUCUCUCUCUUUCAGCGACAUAAGAUAAGGAGUGAUUGGAAGAGUCAUCGGUGGCCACAGUGCCAGCUGUGACAGGUAAGGGUACCACGUCUGUCUGGGCCAGGUGGGAGAAAUCAGUAUGUUUGCUCUCUUCACUUUCAACAGGACUUUCAAUAUUAGAGGGAAUGGGGGAAAAGCAUAAAGGAGGCCUUUGUCCCAUGGAAGGAGGAGGGCAUUUCCCAUGGAAUGUCGUCCGAUCCCCACUCUAGAGCAGUACUGUGGACACUGCUUGUUCUGCAGGAGGAAGCAAGUGCACGUGUUGAUCUCUCGCCUGGAGACCAUUUGUCCUGUAUUGUGCGACCAUUGAGAUCCAUGCGGUUAGGAGUAGAGAUCAGGAAGACUGAACAAACAGGAUUCCCGUACAGACGUUUACCGGGUCCUUCUACCAAUCAGAGGAUCGCUUGACCCUGGCCCAGAUUCUGAAACAGGUCCAGUGUGGUCUGAGUGACUUGCUGGGACUCUGCAAAGGACCAUACCCUGAGAAGGCAGUCGUCCAGGUAUAUAGAUCCCAAGGGAUCGAAGAGUGACCCUCAAAUCUUUUAACAGAUGGAGGGAGGCAUCUGUCUUUUCAGCAAAUAAUUUUGUCCCCUAAAAGGGGUAGUUCUCCACCGUCGUUUGGACCUCCUUGAGGAAGUCAGAGAUGAAGCCAUGAGGCCUGUCUCAUCACAACGCAGUCAAAAUAGAACGUGCCACCGUCAAAUGCAUACUGGAGCGAUUUUUUGCCACCAACUGGCUCUCAUUAACCAAGGCCUUAAAUUGGUCCUUGUGAGGAUGGGGAAGCUGUUCAAUAAAAGAACUAAAUUUCACAUAGUUC